GAGCACUCCUUCCCGACUGAUCCUCUGCCGGGCGUGGGCGCGAGCCUUUUCACCGCAGCCGUGGAUCUGAAAAGUCACAAGAGCCAGGAAAACGCUAGGCUGGUCUGGCUACACCAGUCCCCCAACACCACCCGCAGCCAACCAAGUGAUGCCCCCACCCCCCACCCCCCGCCUGGGAGGGCCGUCACCUCGGGCAGGUGAUGGCUGAGGCAGUAGCAGCGGUUACAGUGCAUGCAGAGCUGGCCCAGGGUGGUGGUGCUGGCCGAACACUUGGCAAAGCUACAGGUGUUGUCAGCCUUAACCACAGCGGACACCAGGGCAUCAAAGUCGUCCUCGCAGGGCAGAGCCGCAUGUAGACCUGGGGAGGAAGAAGGCAGAGCUCAGGCCAAGGAGAGGACGGAGACCAGACACUGCAGACAGUGGACACCUCAUCCCCAGAGUCCUUGGUGGGAUUUGCCAUCCGCCCAGGACGCCAGGGUCCUCGCCAAGCUGACAGCCUACCCACCCCACUGCCCAGCCCCGAGGGAGGAGGACAGGGUGUAGAGUGCCUCUAAAUGCACACCCUUUCACCUAGAAAAGCCUUGGGAGGUGGGGUGCAGGCUCCCUGUGAUACGACUGAAAACAGAACCCAGGCAGACUUGAGUACCACCAGGGACGGAGGCUGCCCAACUCGGGCCCCAGCUGAAGCCUCCCAGACCCUCAGGCAGGGGCAGGAAUUGCUUGACAGUGAAGUGUCUUACUUAAACUGUGGGUGUUCUGGGGUCAGGCUGGAGUCGUGAAAAACUCAGCAACUGUGAAAGGCUCCAGAAAGUACACAUCUCUUCAGAAUCAAAGGUGUGCGGCACGGUGCCUCUGCAGAAGCCUUGGAUCUCAACACACAACACGCAUGCUCAGCACUGCCCCACCGUCACACCAGAGUGGCCACCCUCUGCUGCGAGUCCAGCCACUGGAGGAGCUGGGUGCUUCACUGCAUGUAUGUGACUCCAUUCUCACAAAGGCCUCUUGUUCUAACGCCAGACACCAGACACAACGGGGCACUUCCUGCCCAGCGCUCCUCAGAAUUUAUCAAGUGGUACAUCUUGGGGCUGUGUUGUGUUAGACAAGUGUCCAGAUGACUGGAUGCAAAUCUGUUCUCACCUUUAAUAAAUGGUAAAAUUUCAUGUA